rnacentral:misc_RNA from 1 species
GUUUUAAUAUAUUAAUUUAAAAUUAAAAUUAUUUUAUAGUUAAGGUAGUUAAGUAGUUAGGAGAAAUGGUGCGAGUGUACAAAACACAAAAACAGAAUCAUGUGCUAAAAAUGAUUGAAAACUUUUCACCUACUUCGAUUCCUCACUCACCAAACUUCCAUUACAACAAUCAAAUGAAAUUUGCAUGUAAUAAAAGCAAAUAAAUUGAAUUUUGACAGUUUUAUUUUAAU